rnacentral:lncRNA from 1 species
CAUACAUAUUAGGCACAUUUUGGUAAUCCUCUCAUAUUGGCUCCCGGAUACAACUGAAAGACACGAAAGGUGUCUGGUCGAUCAUCUGAUUUGAAUCAGAUGAACGUUCCUCUAGUGGAGUCGACCUCUCAUGAUUCCAGAUUCCUACCAUGAUUGGAGGCCCACCGACUAGCUGUCUCAUGGUUGUGGCCUGAGGUGGUGUGGUGCAUAUAGGUUUAGCCUCUAACCGUGCGUCUAAGUAGUCCACUAAUGGGGAUAGGGUUCCCGAUCUUUGAUCAAGUUUACGAUAAACAACGA